AACUUCAAUGCUAUUUCCA
rnacentral:miRNA from 1 species